UGAGGUUUGACAAGUAAAAUGGAUAAGGGAGAGCCAGUGGGUGUAGUGUAUCUGGAAUUUCAGAAAGCCUUUUAUACGUAUGGUCCCACAGGAGAUUGGUUGGCAAAAUUAGAGCACAUGGUAUUGGGGGUAGGGUAUUGACAUGGAUAGAAAAUUGGUUGGCAGGACAGGAAACAGAAUUAACGGUUCCCUUUCAGAAUGACAGGUAGUGACUA